CAACUCUUGUGUUAAGGAAAACAUACCUAGUUCCUCAGCCUGGCUUGUAUUACGAGAGUCACCAUUCAGGAUGUAGUUUUUGUUGUUGUUAUCUAUGACAGAUGUUGCCAAUUAAGGAAUAGAUUAUUUUUUAUUUCUUAUAAUAAAUGAAUAUGGGUCUUCCUAGUUCAUUCCACCACAAAUAUUAUUCAUCAGGAGGAGACUGUGAUGUGCAAAAAAAACAUAUUAUAGAGGAAAUUAAAAUCCAGGGUUGUUAAUAAGCAAUUAGGAGAACCCGUACAACUUCAAAUGUCUUCAAGUACUCAGAGUCACAUGAAUUGCAUUUUUGAUUAUAGGGAACUUGUAGACACGUUCUUAAAGUGAAAAAGUGUUGAGAUGAGGAAGUUGAAGGAGAGAUAGGAGCAUAAAAACAAGCUUUUAGAAGCAUCCAAAUUGAACAUAAUAACAUAAGAGAAGGGAAAAAAUAAAGAGUGGGGGGAUGGCCAGUGCUGAAACUACAGGAGAGGUGUUGAUUGUUGGCCAGCCUGGCAGCAUCCUUUUUUGGGGGGGAACUGCUACAAUCUCUGUGGUUCCAUUAGAGCUUCUAAUCAUACUUUGACCAAACCCAAGACCACUGGGGUUGGUGUAUGAUCCAGUCUGGGGCAAUCAUAGUAUUUAACCUUUAUCAUAAUGAUUGGCUGAAGAAUUGCCAUGUGAUUAAAACAUAUAUAGUUAGUGUCUCCAAGUGUUUUAUAUAUGAAUGAGUUGCUAAGAUGAGGGGAUGGACUAUGGAGCUGCUGGCAGCCAUUUUGGCAGAUGCAUGAAGAGACUUGAGAGGUUGAUUAAUGCCUUUUGAAAAGUUUUGAGCCACUGAAUCCAGUCAUAUUUGAGGUCCCUGUUAUAUGCAUAUUCAAUUUCCCUUUUAUUCUUAAGUUAAUUUUAGUUGGGUUUCUUGCAUUGGGAACAAACAAAAUCCUGCUGGAUAAGACUUCUGAUUGUAAAGCACAAACUUUGAGAUAUUUCUUCCAGAAACAAAAGCUACUGGAGUUCUCUCAUUAAGGUGGCAGCACACAUUUUAUGAAACAGUUGGGGAUUAUUCCGUCAAAUUAGGUAAAACUGACUUCCUAAAGCUGGAGGAUUGGCUGCAACAAGUCAUAUUCUGCCUAUUUUGGAGCCCCUUUUCCUGUCACAGACCAAUAGUAUUUGGAGGUGCUUUGGGGGCUAGAGGGGAGAGUAGAUAUUGUAUGCCAUUUUUUUCAAACUGGCUUUAGGUAGGUACUCUUUGUUUAUGCCGUUUUCAGUAGUAAUAAUAUGAGCACUCUAUUUAGAGCUUGAUAGAAAAUAUACAACAUAGAAAAAGCCUUAUUAAGAGUUACCAAAAUUAAGUUAAGUGUACAUCUAUUUGGGACAGAGAUAGAGAAUAUAUUCAUCAAUUUGAGGACAUAAAGCUGAAAGUUCUAUUAAAUUUGAUAGAUCCCAAAAUCAGAAUCUGAAAUACUAUCAGUCCUAAGCUAUAAUAAUACAGUCAUAUAAUGUAUGAAAUUCCUUGUGAGAUUUAAAAAUUAAUUUCUCAAGUAGCAGUUUAAGCAAAAUCCACUUGUUUUAGUUAAUGACUAGUCUAGUAAGAGUGAAGAGCGUGAGCUAGUAUGUAAGAAAAUAAAAUCAUCUUUAGCAUUGAGUAGCAGUAGCAUAGUGACUAGACUGUUGGAGCUGUGGAUAAAUCUCAUCAGGAAGAAAUGUUCCUCAGAUCCAUGAGGUUUGUCAAUCUUUUCCAGAGAAUUUUAUGAAUGGGCUCUGUGCCCUCAAAGAAAUCAAGCUGGAUAGAUUCUCAUUGUUCUAUAUUAUUUCAACACAGACGAAAGAGCUAGAGGAAAUUCAAAUUUUCUUUUUCCACUUGAGGUCAGCAGCUUCAUUGUGCGGGUUUCUUUCCUAAUACUGAUUUUGUUACGGUCAUUGUAAAAGUGUUAUUUCACUCAGGAAGUUUUCAUAACAUUUUUCCAAUGAUGGGAAUGCGUAGAAGUUAUCAAUGUACCAUGACGGAAUAAAUAUUCCCAGGUGAAACAAAAAGAGCAGCAGACACGAGUUAUAUGAGCUUCUUGCCAAGGAUGAAGGUCAAGGUUAAAGGGAAUCACCUGCAUCGAUGAAGUGAGUCUAGAUUGAACUGUAUUGACAGCUGGAUUAUAGAUCUUCAGCCCAGAUGAGAAACCCUGUUUGUGUUUGUGUCAGUGAAUGCUGUUCUUGAUAAUAAAAUCUGCAUUAAAUAUGUUUGAAAGGCA
ensembl:lncRNA